GAGCGUGGAUGUAAAGCUGCUUGGCCAGCAUCAUCUUAGGAGUCCUCAACUUUAUUCUUGCUUCCCAAUUUCAAAAUUUACUACAAAGCUCUAGGAAUCAGGACAGUGGGAUACUGCAAGAGUUUCAAGACCGCUUUCUUGGGGAAGGAAUACUCUUUUCCUCAAAUAUUGCUGGGACCACUGGAUAUCCACCUGGCUGUUCCUCACAGAAGAUACAAAAUUAACUCCAAUUUAUCCCCCAAAUUAACUAAAAAUAGACCUAAAUGUAUAACAAUAGAACCUAUCGAGUGGAUGCUAUUAAUUGGGAGGAGACUCCCAGAAGUACGUUUAAGAAAUCAGGUGGUGAGGAAAUCACCUUCGUAGACUACUACAAGGAGGUCUAACAGAUGAAAUGCAUAAAGACUACAGAGUGAAGAGAGACAUGGCUAUGCAUACAAGGUUGGAUCCAGAAAAAAAAGGCAGCAUAAAUUAUGAAGAUUCAUGAAUAUUGUACAAAAAAAUAAGAGUGCACAAAAGGAACUCCCACUUUGGGAUUUGAAAUUUGACCCCAACUUCGUGUCCUUCUCAGGAAGAAUUAUGAAAGAAGUAAGAAUUCUUCAAAGAAGCAGAGCGAUCAAGUUUGGAAAUGUGUGAAAAUGUACAAGAAGCACGAGAAUUGUAGACUUGACUUCUGAGACCACAGGCCCAGCUCUCUUCUAAAUUUGUGUCAUUAAAGAAAAUUUAAGACCACACCCUCUAUCAGAAGCCCCCGCAAGUUGUCCUGGGAGAACAAAGUCCAAACAUCUUUUGUCUUGGGACAAAAGGAAAGGUUUCUACAGGUAGGAACAAUUGAGGGGACAUUGGGUGUAGCGGAGUUUGGCCACACAGUAAGGAUGGAUCAAAGUUCCACGGAAAAUGGGAAGGCUGAACACGUACCUACGAAUUGAAACGGCUACAGUUUUUAAUCGUCCUGCGAAGAAGCAGGGGGUGAGGCUACCCCUGGUUAUCAGGAGACAGAAAUGCUUACUGAACGGAGCAACUGCAGGAUCAGGUGGGUGUUUGCCUUCCGGUGGGCAUUUCAGAAGGUAAGAGUGGAUGCCUUAAGCCUGCAUGAGGCCAGGGAACAGGGAAGUGCUUCCAUCGUCUUUGACAUAGCUCCACCUAGCGGCCAGCCGUGUUUACUACCACUCGGUUCACCCAACCUUCUUCGGGUGUCUGCCAAAGUCACUCAAGAACUACAAUCCCUCCGCUUUUCUACGGUUGAAGAAUAAAAACCCAAAUAAGUGAGACACAACAAAAAACUCCUCAAAUUUCAUCGACAGAUCACUAAUAAAGAUAUUUAAAAUGUGUGUAAUUUACCAAUUGUUGUUAUGACCUUCCCAUAUUUUGAAGCUCAAAUCCGUUUCAAAUAUGCUUCGUGGGCUUUGAUACACCGAUAAUCUUAUAUUUUACUGUGCAGGAAAACGUGACGGCAGUAAGAGAUUUCUACUUUCUAGUCACUGAGUGGCAAUAAAAUCAAAGUGAAGAAUUUAUCUCCUAGGAGUGGAACCAAGCACAGCCAAUUUCCAUCCCCUCCUUAGCUUGGUACCCCACGGUUCCUCAAAACUAGGUUCUGGGCCCACAUGUUUCAAAUCGCUGAGCUAACGUGAGUGAGAAUUCAUAUCCCAUAGAAGCUAAGUGUAUUAAGUAGUAAACCAGAAGGUUUUAAUUUUAAACAGUGAGUCAAAUUGAAAUGGGAAUUUUAUGACACAUUAUGUGCUUGACAGAUGAAGCAUAUUUGUGUAAGCAACAUAACUAUGGAGUAUUGUAUAGAGAGAGUAAUAUUAAUGAAAUUAAAUGUUCAUGUCUGGUUUUGUCCACAAGACAAGGAAAACAUGAUAUUUAUUGACCACAGAUAAUUCUUCACAUUUAUCAAUCCUCACAUUCAAAAUGUCUGAAACUGCUGUUUCUUUUGAAAGUUCGGUUCCAUGUGGAAUAAAAACACAUGUGGCACCAUUUCUGUCAUCAGGAAAUCUCAGUCCUCCCAGAAUUAAAUUAAAACAUAAUCGGAUGAUGAAAUAGGUGAGUCCUGGUAUGGUAGGGUGGCAAGAGGACCCUUUAACAUAAGGAGCCCCUUCUGAAUCAAUCUCAUUUCAGAACUGAGCCCCCUUUGAAAGGAGUUGGAAACCAGAGCAGAAUCUCCUAGAGGAGGAGUCCACUCUUCUGCAACCUCCUUUUUGCUGAUCAUGACUUGGACUGUGGUACGAGAUGUUGAAUUGAGUUUCUCCCAUUGAUUGGUUCAACCUCUCAGCUGCUGCUGUGGGUCUGAGCCACGGCCAGGUUGGAGUGGUUCUGCGAGUUGGGAGGAUCUCUCAGCCUAGACUGGCAAUCACAGGCAGAAAUAGAAUGGGACCCACCCAUGUCAACUACAGAUUGUCUAGUAGCUCUAUGGUAAAAAGAAACAAGUCAAAAAUCAAAUCAUUGUAAUGGGCAAAAUGGUACCACUUCAACGUGUAUUUGAUUUCAAAAAUACAUUGUUUUUAAAACCUCAA